GAGAAUAGAAAAUUUAAAAGGGGCUUUCCCUUUCUUUGCUAGGGUUUCAGCCUAGCUUAGGAACCCAAAUGCCAGACCACCACGCGCCGCCGCGGCACCCCGAGAACGGCGACCGACGUCGCACAAAGCAGGGCCUUUAAGCCCGUUUCUCAGGUUUCGGGGAGGAGCGCCUCUUUUCCCACAAAGAAGAAGAGAGAACGAAGCCUCCCUUUCCUCAACCUUCAACCCUUGCGAUGGAGAUCAGCCCUCCGACAAAGCGGUCACGGGGCCUCUCCGGUAAGUCUCUUUCUUAUUAUUCUUGUUUAUGAAAAUAAAAAAACAAUUAUAUAAAUCAAGAUAAAAAAGAAAUAUUGAAAUAAAAGGAAAAUCCUCUCAAAGCUUUGUUUUUUUUUGUUUUUAUUUCUCAAGAUUCGUAAAGAGGUAGCCGACGCUUACAAGUCUCUGAUUUUUGGCUUUAUAGCCAAUCUAAACAACUUUUUGUUUCUUUUUUUUUGUUUUUUUGCCUAUUUGCUGCUCGUUGUUGCGUGUUUUUGCUGUUUUGUAAGUGUUCUGACACGCGUGGAGGAGGCCAGGUACGCAUGCGGCGGUUGACGGCUAAGAGCAGGGGCGUGCGGCAUGCGGGGAGUUGGAGCGGCGCCAGUGGCUAGGCCUGCGGCUAGGGUCGUUUUGUCUUUCUUUUUUUUAGCUGAAAAGAGUUAAGUUUAUGGGCUGUUGGUUUAAUGUAAAUAGACUUUUUUUGUUUUUAUUAUUUGGGUUCAUUUGUGAUUGGGUUAUUAUUUUUACUAGGCCAGCAAAUUUGGGCUUCUACAGCUGCCCCUCUUUGCUCGUUUUCGUGUAACGAGAACAGAGCAAAGACUAAGAAUGACCAAAUUUGUCUGGUCUCGCCGAGGCUUGGCUUCUUUGGGUACUGCUCCGAUCCACUGCGUCUUAUUACUUCGAUCCUCUUU
rnacentral:lncRNA from 1 species